rnacentral:rRNA from 1 species
UUGACCUCGGAUCAGUAGGAUACCCGUGAACUUAAG